rnacentral:rRNA from 1 species
CAGUAGCCGCGGUAAAACGAAGGGGGCUAGCGUUGUUCGGAAUCACUGGGCGUAAAGCGCACGUAGGCGGAUACUUAAGUCAGGGGUGAAAUCCCGGGGCUCAACCUCGGAACUGCCUUUGAUACUGGGUAUCUUGAGUCCGGGAGAGGUUGGUGGAACUCCGAGUGUAGAGGUGAAAUUCGUAGAUAUUCGGAAGAACACCAGUGGCGAAGGCGGCCAACUGGCCCGGUACUGACGCUGAGGUGCGAAAGCGUGGGGAGCAAACAGGAUUAGAGACCCCUGUAGUCCCUGUCUCUUAUAC